rnacentral:rRNA from 1 species
CCUACGGGGGGCUGCAGUGAGGAAUAUUGGUCAAUGGGCUUACGCCUGAACCAGCCAAGUCGCGUGAGGGAAGACUGCCCUAUGGGUUGUAAACCUCUUUUGUCAGGGAGCAACGUCGGCUACGUGUAGCCGGACUGAGAGUACCUGAAGAAAAAGCACCGGCUAACUCCGUGCCAGCAGCCGCGGUAAUACGGAGGAUGCGAGCGUUAUCCGGAUUUAUGGGGUUUAAAGGGUGCGUGGGCGGGAUGCCAAGUCAGCGGUAAAAUCGCGGGGCUCAACCUCGCUCCGCCGUUGAAACUGGCGUUCUUGAGUGGGCGAGAAGUAUGCGGAAUGCGUGGUGUAGCGGUGAAAUGCAUAGCUAUCGCGCAGAACUCCGAUUGCGAAGGCAGCAUGCCGGCGCCCAACUGACGCUGAAGCACGAAAGCGUGGGUAUCGAACAGGAUUAGAUACCCCUGUAGUC